AGAGUUUGAUCCUGGCUCAGGAUGAACGCUGGCGGCGUGCCUAACACAUGCAAGUCGAACGAAGUUAUACAGAGGAAGUUUUCGGAUGGAAUCGGUGUAACUUAGUGGCGGACGGGUGAGUAACGCGUGGGAAACCUGCCCUGUACCGGGGGAUAACACUUAGAAAUAGGUGCUAAUACCGCAUAAGCGCACAGCUUCACAUGAGGCAGUGUGAAAAACUCCGGUGGUACAGGAUGGUCCCGCGUCUGAUUAGCCAGUUGGCAGGGUAACGGCCUACCAAAGCGACGAUCAGUAGCCGGCCUGAGAGGGUGAACGGCCACAUUGGGACUGAGACACGGCCCAAACUCCUACGGGAGGCAGCAGUGGGGAAUAUUGCACAAUGGGGGAAACCCUGAUGCAGCGACGCCGCGUGAGUGAAGAAGUAUUUCGGUAUGUAAAGCUCUAUCAGCAGGGAAGAAAAUGACGGUACCUGACUAAGAAGCCCCGGCUAACUACGUGCCAGCCGCCGCGGUAAUUC
rnacentral:rRNA from 1 species